rnacentral:rRNA from 1 species
AGGAAUAUUGGUCAAUGGGCGCGAGCCUGAACCAGCCAAGUAGCGUGAAGGAUGAAGGUCCUACGGAUUGUAAACUUCUUUUAUAAGGGAAUAAAGUCACCCACGUGUGGGUGUUUGUAUGUACCUUAUGAAUAAGCAUCGGCUAACUCCGUGCCAGCAGCCGCGGUAAUACGGAGGAUGCGAGCGUUAUCCGGAUUUAUUGGGUUUAAAGGGAGCGUAGACGGGUCGUUAAGUCAGCUGUGAAAGUUUGAGGCUCAACCUUAAAAUUGCAGUUGAUACUGGCGUCCUUGAGUACGGUUGAGGCAGGCGGAAUUCGUGGUGUAGCGGUAAAAUGCUUAGAUAUCACGAAGAACCCCGAUUGCGAAGGCAGCCUGCUAAACCGCCACUGACGUUGAGGCUCGAAAGUGUGGGUAUCAAACAGGAUUAGAUACCCUGGUAGUCCACACGGUAAACGAUGGAUACUCGCUGUUGGCGAUAGACUGUCAGCGGCUUAGCGAAAGCGUUAAGUAUCCCACCUGGGGAGUACGCCGGCAACGGUGAAACUCAAAGGAAUUGACGGGGGCCCGCACAAGCGGAGGAACAUGUGGUUUAAUUCGAUGAUACGCGAGGAACCUUACCCGGGCUUGAAUUGCAGACGAAUUGCUUGGAAACAGGCAAGCCGCAAGGCGUCUGUGAAGGUGCUGCAUGGUUGUCGUCAGCUCGUGCCGUGAGGUGUCGGCUUAAGUGCCAUAACGAGCGCAACCCUCGUGUCCAGUUACUAGCAGGUUAUGCUGAGGACUCUGGACAGACUGCCAUCGUAAGAUGUGAGGAAGGUGGGGAUGACGUCAAAUCAGCACGGCCCUUACGUCCGGGGCUACACACGUGUUACAAUGGGGGGUACAGCAGGCAGCUACCGGGCGACCGGAUGCCAAUCCCGAAAGCCUCUCUCAGUUCGGACUGGAGUCUGCAACCCGACUCCACGAAGCUGGAUUCGCUAGUAAUCGCGCAUCAGCCACGGCGCGGUGAAUACGUUCCCG